ACUCCUACGGGAGGCAGCAGUGGGGAAUAUUGGACAAUGGGGGAAACCCUGAUCCAGCAAUGCCGCGUGUGUGAAGAAGGCCUUCGGUUGUAAAGCACUUUCAAUAGGGAGGAAAAGACUAUGCGUUAAUAGCGUAUAGCCGUGACGUUACCUAUAGAAGAAGCACCGGCUAACUCCGUGCCAGCAGCCGCGGUAAUACGGAGGGUGCAAGCGUUAAUCGGAAUUACUGGGCGUAAAGCGCGCGUAGGCGGUUUGCUAAGUCAGAUGUGAAAUCCCCGGGGCUCAACCUGGGAAUGGCAUUUGAGACUGGCAGGCUAGAAUGUGGUAGAGGUGAGUGGAAUUCCAGGUGUAGCGGUGAAAUGCGUAGAGAUCUGGAGGAACAUCAGUGGCGAAGGCGACUCACUGGGCCAUUAUUGACGCUGAGGUGCGAAAGCGUGGGGUAGCAAACA
rnacentral:rRNA from 1 species